rnacentral:rRNA from 1 species
GACGAACGCUGGCGGCGUGCUUAACACAUGCAAGUCGAACGGAAAGGCCCUGCUUUUGUGGGGUGCUCGAGUGGCGAACGGGUGAGUAACACGUGAGUAACCUGCCCUUGACUUUGGGAUAACUUCAGGAAACUGGGGCUAAUACCGGAUAGGAGCUCCUGCUGCAUGGUGGGGGUUGGAAAGUUUCGGCGGUUGGGGAUGGACUCGCGGCUUAUCAGCUUGUUGGUGGGGUAGUGGCUUACCAAGGCUUUGACGGGUAGCCGGCCUGAGAGGGUGACCGGCCACAUUGGGACUGAGAUACGGCCCAGACUCAUACGGGAGGCAGCAGUGGGGAUGAUUGAACAAUGGGCUGAAGCCUGAUGCAGAAACUCCGCGUGCCGGAUGACGGCCUUCGGGUUGUAAACCGCUUUCGCCUGUGACGAAGCGUGAGUGACGGUAAUGGGUAAAGAAGCACCGGCUAACUACGUG